ensembl:lncRNA
UGAUAUUUUGACCAGCAAGUCCUCCAAACAAUCACUGACUUCAGGUCACAAAAGAUCCAGCACAGAUCAAAUGAUGCAUCACCAGACAUGCAAAAACCAGAACCAUUUUCCCUACACUCUGCAGCUCCACCGAAGUAGAAGCUGAAGAGUUAGUUGAUUCAGGCUGAGAUUUACUCCAAGUGUAGUCAGAGACACCCCAUGCUGAAAAGCUGCAGGAUGGACUAACCCCAAAUCAUCACAGCCACGUUCUCAACACGUUGCCUGUUUGGUCAUCGCGCAAGAUGUGAACCAGAUGGGGACUGGCUCUGGUUGUCCGUGCUCUCCUCUUGAGCUGUUGUACCUUGUUUACACCACAUAUGUCUCAGGCACAGAUGAAGACAGCCCCACUUCUGACCCUGGGAAGGUGAAAUAAUUUUGAAGCUAUUCUUUUUAAUCAGCUAUUGAUGAGCACCAGGAACCCAAGUUCAGGUGUAUAUCUGAUACCGUACAAACAAUAGCGCAGAAGUAUUUUCAGCUUCAGCUAAAUCACAGAGUUCUCUGCUUU